rnacentral:rRNA from 1 species
CUACGGGAGGCAGCAGUGGGGAAUAUUGCACAAUGGGCGCAAGCCUGAUCCAGCCAUGCCGCGUGAGUGAUGACGGCCCUAGGGUUGUAAAGCUCUUUCGCCAGGGACGAUAAUGACGGUACCUGGAUAAGAAGCCCCGGCUAACUUCGUGCCAGCAGCCGCGGUAAUACGAAGGGGGCUAGCGUUGUUCGGAAUCACUGGGCGUAAAGCGCACGUAGGCGGAUCUUUAAGUCAGGGGUGAAAUCCCGGGGCUCAACCUCGGAACUGCCUUUGAUACUGGGGAUCUCGAGUUCGGGAGAGGUGAGUGGAAUUCCUAGUGUAGAGGUGAAAUUCGUAGAUAUUAGGAAGAACACCAGUGGCGAAGGCGGCUCACUGGUCCGGUACCGACGCUGAGGUGCGAAAGCGUGGGGAGCAAACAGGAUUAGAUACCCUAGUAGUCC